CCCAUUUGCAUAAACAGCCCCUCCUCUGUAAGGCUUUUGGACAAGAGAUAAGACAGGCCAGGGGCAGCCCAGCCCCAGAUCUGUGGGCUAAGAAGGGGCUGUGUCACCAUGGCCUGGAGCCCUGUCCUCCUCGUGCUCCUCUGUCACUGCACAGGGUCCCUGUCGCAGCCUGUGCUGACCCAGCCGCCAUCCCUCUCUGCAUCUCUGGGAACAACGGCCAGACUUACCUGUGCCCUGAGCAGGGACACCAGUGUUGGUGGUAAAAACAUGCACUGGUACCAGCAGCAGCCAGGAAGCCCUCCCCGAUAUUUCCUGUACUACUACUCAGACUCAGACAAGGAGCUGGGACCUGGUGUCCCCAGUCGAGUCUCUGGAUCCAAAGAUGCCUCCACUAAUACAGCAAUUCUGCUCAUCUCCGGGCUGCAGGCUGAGGACGAGGCUGACUAUUACUGUGCUGUAUAUCAUGGCAGUGGGAGAAGUGAAGGUUACCCACAGUGUCUCAGACAAUGAGGAAGUGAGACAAA